AGCCUUUUAGUUUGUGAACCCGAAACUAGGGGAGCUACUCCAAGACAGCCUAAUAAUAGGGCAAACCCGUCUCUGUUGCAAAAGAGUGGGGUGAGCUUUGAGUAGAGGUGACAGACCUACCGAACCUAGUUAUAGCUGGUUGCCCAAGAAAUGAAUAGUAGUUCAGCUUUACGGCUUCUCCCUUCUCAUCAGUACAUGCAACCCCUGAUAUUUUAAGAAACCUUAAAAGUUAUUCAAAAGGGGUACAGCCCUUUUGAAACAAGACACAACUUUCCCAGGAGGGUAAAGAUCAUAAUUACAUAAGGUAAUUGACCCUGGUGGGCUCGAAAGCAGCCACCCCUUAAGAAAGCGUCUAAGCUCGCAAGAAUGUUCCCCCUCUCCCAAUUCUGAUCAUUUUAUCUUACCCCCCUAAAUUUAUUGGGCCACCCCAUGCCAACAUGGGGGUGACCAUGCUAAUAUGAGUAAUAAGAAAGCUAUGGCUUUCUCCCCGCACACAUGUAAAUCGGAAUGGACCCCCCCCCGAAAAUUAACGGCCCCAAUUCAGAGGGCAGUGGAUGAUAAACCAAAUACGAGAAAAUUCUUCAACCGCCAACCGUAACCCAACACAGGUGUGCCCCAGGGAAAAACUAAAAGGGAGAGAAGGACUCGGCAAACACAUAAAGCCUCCCUGUUUACCAAAACAUCGCUUUUGCAAAAAAUGAAUAAGAGGUCCGCCUGCCCUGUGACUAUUAGUUUAACGGCCGCGGUAUUUUGACCGCGCGAAGGUA
rnacentral:rRNA from 1 species